AUUGAACGCUGGCGGCAUGCUUUACACAUGCAAGUCGGACGAGUGGCGGACGGGUGAGUAACGCAUCGGAACGUACCGAGUGGUGGGGGAUAACUGCUCGAAACGACAGCUAAUCCCGCAUAUCAUCCGAGCUGCCCAGGUGUGAUUAGCUGGUUGGGGGGGUAAAGGCUCACCAAGGCGACGAGCAGUAGCGGGUCUGAGAGGAUGAUCCGCCACACUGUGACUGGGACACGGCCCAGACUCCUACGGGAGGCAGCAGUGGGGAAUUUUGGACAAUGGGCGCAAGCCUGAUGCAGCCAUGCCGCGUGUAUGAAGAAGGCCUUCGGGUUGUAAAGGACUUUUGUCAGGGAAGCGGUACCUGAAGAAUAAGCACCGGCUAACUACGUGCCAGCAGCCGCGGUAAUUC
rnacentral:rRNA from 1 species